UUCCAUUAUUUCACUCUGCCAUGGCCAUGGGCUUAAGGACUCGAUCUUUCGAUCAUCAUAAGACUACUCCUCUCAUCUACCGAGGUUGAUAGAUCCCAUCUUGGUGUGACCUAGUUCCUACAAUGAAUAUGCUACAGCCAACAUACACCUCAGGAUUCUGAAUGGUUAGGAGACUGAGUUAUGGUGUAGUCAAACUAUAACAC
rnacentral:lncRNA from 1 species